CCUACGGGUGGCACCAGUGGGGAAUUUUGGACAAUGGGCGAAAGCCUGAUCCAGCAAUGCCGCGUGUGUGAAGAAGGCCUUCGGGUUGUAAAGCACUUUUGUCCGGAAAGAAAUGGCUCUGGUUAAUACCUGGGGUCGAUGACGGUACCGGAAGAAUAAGGACCGGCUAACUACGUGCCAGCAGCCGCGGUAAUACGUAGGGUCCAAGCGUUAAUCGGAAUUACUGGGCGUAAAGCGUGCGCAGGCGGUUGUGCAAGACCGAUGUGAAAUCCCCGAGCUUAACUUGGGAAUUGCAUUGGUGACUGCACGGCUAGAGUGUGUCAGAGGGGGGUAGAAUUCCACGUGUAGCAGUGAAAUGCGUAGAGAUGUGGAGGAAUACCGAUGGCGAAGGCAGCCCCCUGGGGUAACACUGACGCUCAUGCACGAAAGCGUGGGGAGCAAACAGGAUUAGAUACCCUAGUAGUC
rnacentral:rRNA from 1 species